rnacentral:lncRNA from 10 species
GAAGGCGGGGGACCCGGGACUUCCAAGUGUUCUGGCCAUGGAGGCAUGGUAUCCGUAACAUCCCCCAAAGGAGCUAAAGAAGAAAUCCACAAUUUACCAUGAGCAUUUCUCGUCUGAAGAUUGCCAAGCGAUUCCUCCAGGACAUUCCUCAAGAUCAAUUUCUGUUCAUCCACCUUGUCCUGGGAGGGACAUCAAUGGGUUUCCAUGUCCUUUGGCUUCUGGUUGAGUUCACUCAGUGGAGAACCCUGGCAAGAGGCAGGAAAAGGGGAGGAAGGCUUUAUGAUACAUGUGUUGAAUGUGCAGGUUCGUUACAUAGGUAAAUGUGUGGCAUGGUGGUUUGCUGCACCUAUCAACCCAUCACCUAGGUAUUAAGCCCUGCAUGCAUUAGCUAUUAGUCCUGAUGCUCUCCCUCCCCCGCACCCCCUAGCAGGUCCCUGGUGUAUGUUGUUCCACUCCCUGUGUUCAUGUAUUCUCAUUGUUCAACUCCCACUUAUGAGUGAGAACAUGCAGUGUUUGAUUUUCUGUUCCUGUGUCAGUUUACUGAGGAUACUGGCUUCCAGCGUCAUCCACGUCUCAGUAUAGGACAUCAUCUCAUUCCUUUUUAUGGCUGCAUAGUAUUCCAUGGUGUAUAUGUAUCACAUUUUUCUUUAUCCAGUCUACCAUUGUGGGCAUUUGGGUUCAUUCCAAGUCUUUAAUAAGGGUUUGGUCUUACCUGAUUUAUGUUAGAAGGAAACCAUUUGUUUGGAAUGAAUAGAGUAAAUCUUUUGGGAAAAUAGAAAAAAAGAUUAUUUUAAAAUCAUGUGAAUAUUUAGGUCUAAGAGUUGUCCAUGAAUCCUUAGCUCAGUGUUCAUAGAUCCCUACAAACAAGAUCUAUGAAUAGAAUUCUUGGAAUCCUUAAGUUAGGAUAGGAAAAAAUUACAUCUUUAUUUUUUCUAACCUCUAUUUGAAAUGUAGUAUUUCUUUCCAUCACAAGUGUAUGUGACAAGACACAAUAGUGUUGGUCAUUACUAAGGCUUUAUCACCGACAAAAAUCAUAGGUAUUUUUAUAUCACACUGCAGUGUUGUAAAAAUCUCAAGAUAUCAUCUAUACUCUUCACUGCUUCGAAAUUAUGGUAGUUGGUAGACCCACCUUCAGGUCUUGUUAUUGGCGGCAUUAAUAAGGAAGUGUAUAUGUUAUGUUUCACAAUUUUAUUUUCUAAAUACUUUCAGAUUGCAACUGCAUUUCCAUAUAAUUUAUUUUAUAAUUCGUUGUGUUUCAAGUUAUGCAUUUACACAUGUAAUUCUAAAAAGAAGUCCAUAGACUUGACCACAUUUCCAAAAGAGUUCACAGUAAACAAAUUAUUAAAAAUCUCUGUUAAUUCAUAGAUACUCAUUCCAGAAAAUACAGCAAUGGCUGCAUAUCAGGAAUAUCUUUUUCCAGAAAAAAAAAUAUCCGAAGUUACUAGAUAUUCUGUAGUUUCUGUAUGUGGAGUUUCUGGGGUAAAUCCUUUGAGUUCAAUAUGUUGACUAUGUGCUAUGUCAUCUCAAAUAUUUGACCUUAUUCUGUUUUUCUUCUCUGGGUCAUUGUAUGUUUUGUAACUAGAUUUCCUAUUUGGUAUUUGUCUCCCAAAUUUUAAGAGCAAAACUUGUCAUCUAUCGCCUUAUUUUAAUUCUCACUAUGUAAACUUGUAAGAACUAACUCACAACUUGGUGUCUCAUAACUCACUUCUGAAAUAUCCAAUAAAAAACUGCCAAGUUA